GCGGAGGAAAAGAAACCAACAGGGAUUGCCCCAGUAACGGCGAGUGAAGCGGCAACAGCUCAAAUUUGAAAUCUGGUCCCCCCGCGGGGCCCGAGUUGUAAUUUGAAGAGGAUGCUUCUGGCAAGGUGCCGUCCGAGUUCCCUGGAACGGGACGCCGCAGAGGGUGAGAGCCCCGUACGGUCGGACGCCGAGCCUCUGUGAAGCUCCUUCGACGAGUCGAGUAGUUUGGGAAUGCUGCUCAAAAUGGGAGGUAAACCCCUUCUAAAGCUAAAUACCGGCCAGAGACCGAUAGCGCACAAGUAGAGUGAUCGAAAGAUGAAAAGCACUUUGAAAAGAGAGUUAAAAAGCACGUGAAAUUGUUGAAAGGGAAGCGCUUGCGACCAGACUCGCGCCCGUCGGAUCAGCCGUCGCUCGUCGGCGGCGCACUCCGGCGGGCUCGGGCCAGCAUCAGUUCGCCUCGGGGGGAGAAAGGCGGCGGGAAUGUGGCUCUACGGAGUGUUAUAGCCCGCCGCGUAAUACCCCCGGGCGGA
rnacentral:rRNA from 1 species